rnacentral:rRNA from 1 species
UACGAAGGGGGCUAGCGUUGUUCGGAAUCACUGGGCGUAAAGGGCGCGUAGGCGGCUUGAUAAGUCGGGGGGUGAAAGCCUGUGGCUCAACCACAGAAUUGCCUUCGAUACUGUCGAGCUUGAGACCGGAAGAGGUAAGUGGAACUGCGAGUGUAGAGGUGAAAUUCGUAGAUAUUCGCAAGAACACCAGUGGCGAAGGCGGCUUACUGGUCCGGUUCUGACGCUGAGGCGCGAAAGCGUGGGGAGCGAACAGG